GAUGAACGCUGGCGGCGCGCCUAAUACAUGCAAGUCGAGCGAACAGAUAAGGAGCUUGCUCCUUUGACGUUAGCGGCGGACGGGUGAGUUACACGUGGAUAACCUACCUAUAAGACUGGGAUAACUUCGGGAAACCGGAGCUAAUACCGGAUAACAUAUUGAACCGCAUGGUUCAAUAGUGAAAGGCGGCUUUGCUGUCACUUAUAGAUGGAUCCGCGCCGUAUUAGCUAGUUGGUAAGGUAACGGCUUACCAAGGCAACGAUACGUAGCCGACCUGAGAGGGUGAUCGGCCACACUGGAACUGAGACGCGGUCCAGACUCCUACGGGAGGCAGCAGUAGGGAAUCUUCCGCAAUGGGCGAAAGCCUGACGGAGCAACGCCGCGUGAGUGAUGAAGGUCUUCGGAUCGUAAAACUCUGUUAUCAGGGAAGAACAAAUGUGUAAGUAACUGUGCACAGCUUGACGGUACCUGAUCAGAAAGCCACGGCUAACUACGUG
rnacentral:rRNA from 1 species